rnacentral:rRNA from 1 species
AGCCUUAAGGUUGAUUUAAGGUGAAUUCUGCCCAGUGAUUUUUUUAACGGCCGCGGUACUCUGACCGUGCUAAGGUAGCAUAAUCAUUUGUCUUAUAAUUGAAGUCUAGAAUGAAUGGGAUUACGGAAAAAAGCUUUCUCAAUUAAGCUAUAUAAAACUUACUAAUUAGGUGAAAAGGCCUAAAAAUGAAAAAAGACGAGAAGACCCUUAGAGUUUAAUUUUUUUUGGUUGGGGCGACCUAGGAUAAACCUCCUUUAAAAAUAAGACGGUUUUCAUGUGUAGAUAAACUACCUAAGGGAUAACAGCAUAAUCUUUUUGGUUUAUGACCUCGAUGUUGGACUAGGGAUUAUAGUGACUAGCCGUUACUAUACUAAAUUCUGUUCGAAUAUAACUCCCU